GCCCCCGUAGCUUAAAGGCAUAGAGCAAUCCGCGGUUAACGGAUGAAGUGGAUGGUUCAAAUCCUCCCGGGGGCG
rnacentral:tRNA from 2 species